AUUUGCUUCCUAUACCAGUUGGAAUUGACUCCAGUUCUUGCUUAGAUUUCUUGAAUCCACCAUUGCCAUUCAUAGGUCCUUGUGGCCUUCCACGUUUUCGACCACCAUCGAACUCCAUUGAAGCAACAGAAGAACUCGAAUUUGCAGAAAUCGAAACCCUAAAAUCUCAGAGAAGACGAAGGGCAAAACGAAAGAGAUGUGAGUGUGUG
rnacentral:misc_RNA from 1 species